ACAUGAGAGGUGUAGCAUAGGUGGGAGACUUCGGUCGCCAAUGAAAUACCACUACUCUCAUCGUUUCUUUACUUACUCGAUUAAGCGGAGACUGCAAUUCACGUUGCACGUUUCUUGUUUCAAACGUUCGCGAGUUGGUUACUUUCGGGUUUCCUUCUUUUCGCUGCGUGAUCCCCAUCGAGGACAGUGCCAGGCGGGGAGUUUGACUGGGGCG
rnacentral:ncRNA from 1 species